GGAUGAACGCUGACAGAAUGCUUAACCCAUGCAAGUCAACUUGAAUUUGGGUUUUUAACUUAGGUUUGGGUGGCGGACGGGUGAGUAACGCGUAAAGAACUUGCCUCACAGCUAGGGACAACAUUUGGAAACGAAUGCUAAUACCUAAUAUUAUGAUAAUAGGGCAUCCUAUAAUUAUGAAAGCUAUAAGCGCUGUGAGAGAGCUUUGCGUCCCAUUAGCUAGUUGGAGAGGUAACGGCUCACCAAGGCGAUGAUGGGUAGCCGGUCUGAGAGGGUGAUCGGCCACAAGGGGACUGAGACACGGCCCUUACUCCUACGGGAGGCAGCAGUGGGGAAUAUUGGACAAUGGACCGAGAGUCUGAUCCAGCAAUUCUGUGUGCACGAUGAAGUUUUUCGGAAUGUAAAGUGCUUUCAGUUGGGAAGAAACAAAUGACGGCACCAACAGAAGAAGUGACGGCUAAAUACGUG
rnacentral:rRNA from 1 species